rnacentral:lncRNA from 1 species
CGGACAGCUCAAAUUUGCAUAGACUUUUAAAAUGUGUCAGAUAAAGGAAGUCUGUUGAAUUUUGCAUCAGCACAUAGAGAACUGCAAUAGGACUGGUAUGAAAGGAGAGGGAAUGGGAAGGUGAAGAUGGGCAACCGCCUGCAGAGCAACAGGGCAAGGUCUGUAAGAACAACAGUGCCUGAAUUAGCCGUCCAUGAGGAUCCCAGCAGACCUGUGGGAUGUUUCUCAAGACACCAGCUGGUGAGACACAGAGAGAACUGGUACGUCACAUCCAUCCAAGUAUUUCUUGCUUGUAGUGGAAUUGAACAACGGAUAAACUGUUUCAAACCGACAGAUAUAGGAGACAUUUACAUCUACAAGAUAAAAAUCUUCAGUGAAGGAUGUUGAAGAAACAGGUACAUGAGCAAGCCCAGACAUGCACACAACAGACUGGCAUUAAGGUCCUGUUGCUAGCUGGGACAUUUGUCAAGGCAGGUCAGUGCUUUUCU